rnacentral:rRNA from 1 species
UACGGGGGGGGGCAAGCGUUGUUCGGAAUUACUGGGCGUAAAGGGCUCGUAGGCGGCCAACUAAGUCAGACGUGAAAUCCCUCGGCUUAACCGGGGAACUGCGUCUGAUACUGGAUGGCUUGAAUCCGGGAGAGGGAUGCGGAAUUCCAGGUGUAGCGGUGAAAUGCGUAGAUAUCUGGAGGAAUACCGGUGGCGAAGGCGGCAUCCUGGACCGACAUUGACGCUGAAUACCGAAAAGCUAGGGGAGCGAAACGGG